GAUGAACGCUGGCGGCGUGCCUAAUACAUGCAAGUCGAGCGAAUGGAUUAAGAGCUUGCUCUUAUGAAGUUAGCGGCGGACGGGUGAGUAACACGUGGGUAACCUGCCCAUAAGACUGGGAUAACUCCGGGAAACCGGGGCUAAUACCGGAUAACAUUUUGAACCGCAUGGUUCGAAAUUGAAAGGCGGCUUCGGCUGUCACUUAUGGAUGGACCCGCGUCGCAUUAGCUAGUUGGUGAGGUAACGGCUCACCAAGGCAACGAUGCGUAGCCGACCUGAGAGGGUGAUCGGCCACACUGGGACUGAGACACGGCCCAGACUCCUACAGGAGGCAGCAGUAGGGAAUCUUCCGCAAUGGACGAAAGUCUGACGGAGCAACGCCGCGUGAGUGAUGAAGGCUUUCGGGUCGUAAAACUCUGUUGUUAGGGAAGAACAAGUACUAGUUGAAUAAGCUGGCACCUUGACGGUACCUAACCAGAAAGCCACGGCUAACUACGUGCCAGCCGCCGCCGUAA
rnacentral:rRNA from 1 species